rnacentral:lncRNA from 1 species
GGGACCUAGUCUCUAUGUCCUAUAGCAUAGAUAGUCCUACGUGUAGGUUUAGAGAUUUUUGGGGCUCAAGUAACGAGGAGUCAUGCCUUAUUGAGGAUGACUUGGGAAGGUUUCAUUCUUAGUUUUCUAUCUCUUAGGCCUUUCGACUCGAACUCUGGGGAUAAGAUGGCCGCAUGACCAAUACCUCAAGAGAUCGAGUUGCAUUGUAUGAGGAGUCUUUCUAGAUCAAUCUUUAGGUUCCACUCCAUCCUUUCAUUAGCAAUGUUCUUGAUUUCUAUAGGAUUCUCCCAACUCAGAUCACUCUGAACUCCACUCGAGUGAUCAUCAAUUUUAUUAUUUUUUAUAACUGGCUUAGUAUCA